CCUACGGGCGGCAGCAGUGAGGAAUAUUGGUCAAUGGUCGGGAGACUGAACCAGCCAAGCCGCGUGAGGGAUGAAGGUACAGAGUAUCGUAAACCUCUUUUGUCAGGGAACAAAGGCGGGGACGUGUCCCCAGAUGAGUGUACCUGAAGAAAAAGCAUCGGCUAACUCCGUGCCAGCAGCCGCGGUAAUACGGAGGAUGCGAGCGUUAUCCGGAUUUAUUGGGUUUAAAGGGUGCGCAGGCGGUCGGUAAAGUCAGCGGUAAAAGCCCGGGGCUCAACCCCGGCCCGCCGUUGAAACUGGCAGUCUCGAGUUGGAGAGAAGUAUGCGGAAUGCGCGGUGUAGCGGUGAAAUGCAUAGAGAUCGCGCAGAACUCCGAUUGCGAAGGCAGCAUGCCGGCUCCACACUGACGCUGAGGCACGAAAGCGUGGGUAUCGAACAGGAUUAGAUACCCCAGUAGUC
rnacentral:rRNA from 1 species